rnacentral:rRNA from 1 species
CCUACGGGAGGCAGCAGUGGGGAAUAUUGCGCAAUGGGCGAAAGCCUGACGCAGCGACGCCGCGUGAGGGAUGAAGGUCUUCGGAUCGUAAACCUCUGUCAGCAGGGAAGAACGGUCACUGUGCUAAUCAGCAGUGAAUUGACGGUACCUGCAAAGGAAGCACCGGCUAACUCCGUGCCAGCAGCCGCGGUAAUACGGAGGGUGCGAGCGUUAAUCGGAAUUACUGGGCGUAAAGCGCUCGUAGGCGGUAUGUCAAGUCAAGGGUGAAAUCCCCGGGCUCAACGUGGGAACUGCCUUUGAAACUGGCAAACUGGAGUGUGUGAGAGGAUAGUGGAAUUCCAGGUGUAGGAGUGAAAUGCGUAGAUAUCUGGAGGAACAUCAGUGGCGAAGGCGACUAUCUGGCACAUAACUGACGCUGAGGAGCGAAAGCGUGGGUAGCAAACAGGAUUAGAUACCCCAGUAGUC